UACGAAGGGAGCGUAGCGUUGUUCGGAAUCACUGGGCGUAAAGCGCACGUAGGCGGAUGUGUCAGUCAGGGGUGAAAUCCCGGAGCUCAACUUCGGAACUGCCUUUGAUAACAGCACAUCUGGAGUCCGGAAGAGGUGGGUGGAAUUCCUAGUGUAGAGGGUAGAAAUUCGUAAGAUAUUAGGAAGAACACCGGUGGCGAAGGCGGCCCCCUGUUGGAUACUGACGCUGAGACGCGAAAGCGUGGGGAGCAAACAGG
rnacentral:rRNA from 1 species